rnacentral:rRNA from 1 species
CUACGGGCGGCUGCAGUGAGGAAUAUUGCACAAUGGGGGGAACCCUGAUGCAGCAACGCCGCGUGGAGGAUGACGCAUUUCGGUGUGUAAACUCCUUUUAUAUGUCAAGAAAAUGACGGUAGCAUAUGAAUAAGCACCGGCUAACUCCGUGCCAGCAGCCGCGGUAAUGCGGAGGGUGCAAGCGUUACUCGGAAUCACUGGGCGUAAAGGACGCGUAGGCGGGUUGGAAAGUCAGGUGUGAAAUCCUACAGCUUAACUGUAGAACUGCACUUGGAACUUCUAAUCUAGAGUAUGGGAGGGGGAGAUGGAAUUAGUGGUGUAGGGGUAAAAUCCGUAGAUAUCACUAGGAAUACCUAAAGCGAAGGCGAUCUCCUGGAACAUUACUGACGCUAAGGCGUGAAAGCGUGGGGAGCAAACAGGAUUAGAUACCCGAGUAGUC